AUGUUCCCUCAGACUGGUUGGAAAUCAGUCAUUGAGUGUAAAGGCAUAAGGGAGCUUGACUGCGAGACCUACAAGUCGAGCAGGGUCGUAAGACGGACUUAGUGAUCCGGUGGUUCCGCAUGGAAGGGCCAUCGCUCAACGGAUAAAAGCUACCCCGGUGAUAACAGGCUUAUCUCCCCCAAGAGUUCACAUCGACGGGGAGGUUUGGCACCUCGAUGUCGGCUCUUCGCAUCCUGGGGCUGUAGUCGGUCCCAAGGGUUGGGCUGUUCGCCCAUUAAAGCGG
rnacentral:rRNA from 1 species